rnacentral:lncRNA from 1 species
CUCUGAGGGAUUUCAUUGGGUUACGGUUGCCAGGGAAACCAUUUGACUUGGUAAUCAAUAUGUUCAGUAUGUCUCUGUUGCUGUGUGCUUAAUUCCUACUGAUACCAUUGCAGAGUGGAUCCAUGGAAAACACUGGGUAGGAAAAAAAGAAAACCUUGAAAUAUUAGCUUCAAUGAAGGAAAAUCUGGAUAACUUAUUCUUAUGAAUCUGAAACAAUUUAAGAAAACAAAUGACUGCUUGAUUUUUGUGCCAAUUGAAUAGAAUGGGAUUCAAUUUUUAAUAGCAAGUUGGCAUGGCUAAGUAAGGUCCCUGGGAUUCUCUUGCAAUGCCGUGAAAGCAAAAGGACAGCUCUCCUAACAAGAAGCCAAGAUUGCUACAGGAGGCUGAGGAGAGGAAAAAGCCCUUUUCUCAUCACCAUUGAUUCCUUCAGUCUCCAUGAUUUCCUCUCAAGAACUGCCAUUUGUUGCUGUAGAUGGCCCAGUUGCAGACGUGCCUGAGUUCAGCAUAGUGUUGAGGAGAAUCCCAGAGAUCUGAAUCCCAGGAGAAGUCAGCCCAUCCUGCUGUUCGUGGGAAUCUAUAAAGGAGGUGCACAAAGCUCCAGUUGCCCCUGAUUUGAGAGAUGUCUCCAGAGCAGCACUUGUUCCUGGUGCUGCAGAUGCUGCGGGUCCAGGGAUCACACUUUGAGAACCACUAGUCUGGUGCAAGAUUCUUGGCAACAGACAAUAUCUUAUACAAGGGUGGUAAGCUGUGCAGGUGAAGGGAAGUAAACAGAUUUGUUAUACAUUUUGAGGGUAAAGCUAAUAGAAUUUACUUAGCAAUGUGAUGUGAGAAUAGUGAAAAAAAAAAAAGAAAAAAGAAAUGGAUAGCUCCCUAAAUUGGACUUGAUUGAAAGGGGAAUGGCAGUGCCAAUCACUGAUAUAGGGAAGAUGGCAGGGGGAUGGUAUACGCUGGGAAGUUAAAUCAAGAAGUUGGUGUUUGUUGUUGUUGCUUGUUUAUUUAAUUUUGGUUUUAAGUUAGAUGAGUAGAGAUAACAAGCAGAGGGUGGGUUUAAUAUGUCUCCAACUCAGGUGAGACGCUGGAGCCAAAGAUACAAAUGUGUAAGUCAUCAGCAUACAAAUGAGACUGAAUGAGAAAAUAGGAAAAAUAAAGCAGAGCAGAAAAAUGCACUCCAAUGCAAGCUCUCCAGCUCUCCACUGUUUUUAGAGUUUGACAGAAGAGUGCAAAGGAAGCUGAGAAACAGCAGCCAGCAGAGCAGGAGGGACACAAGAUUGUGGCGUCAGACAAUGCAAGCAGGGAGGAAAGUGAGCCCAGGGAGGAAGUGCGCGAUGCCAAAUGCUGCUGCAAAUCGAGGAAGUCGAGAGUUGAGAAAUGUCUAUGGUAUAUGGCAAUACGAGGGGCGCUGGUCACCCUGACAAGGGUAGUUUCAAUGACCAGAAGUGUCAGAAGCUUGACUGUAGCAAAUUGAGAAGUGAAAGGGACAGGAGAAAG